AAUAAAAAAAGACCUGGAGGGCUGGAUAUAAUUACCUGGAGGGCCGGAUCCGGCCCCCGGGCCUUGACUUUGACACAUGUGUGCUAUGAAGAUGGAUUCAGAUGUGGAGUUCCCAUGCUAAGACCGUUUACAUCCAGCCUUCCCAUAUAACAGAUUGCAGAAUGAUGGAAACCCAAACUGAGUGUAAGACAGGAAUUGUGGGAAUUUGUGAGGUCUGAACUCUGGAGAUGUUUUGGUUGAUGUAUCUUUGACGGACCGCAGGAAGCUUGUUUUACAAGACCGCUGCAGAAUCCCAAUCAGGUCAGGAUAUUUCUCAACUUUAAUGGGCUGUGAUUGCCAGUUGCUGAUUAAUAUUUACUGCCUGGGGCCAGCACUCAGUGCUGUGUCCAGAUUAAGCAAGAAAAAAAUGCUUGUUUUGGCAGUGCUGUGGCACAGCAGUAGGUAGGCUGUGUGAAUGUGUGCCGUUUGGACUCUAAAGACUAUAAAUUCAUAAAACAAAUGAGGGGAAAGAAAGUGGCCAGAUGCAGAUAGGGAAGACUUCCUCCAACACCUUGGCGACCCGACAGAGGAUCACCAGCUGAGAUCAGAAUCAGAUAUUCAUGUGCAAAUGGAGCCUUAAAUCUCUUAAUCUCACUUGAUCCCCGGCUCGAUCACACCGGCUUAUUUUGCUUCUUAUUCCGUCAGCACCCAAUGCUGCUGACACUCGUCAUACAUGCUUAUUAUACCACAAAUGAUGGAUACAGUAGCUUAUGUGUCAAGGAGUCCUGAGGACGUGGAUCCAAUGACCUUAAAUAACUCUAGAGUUAUAUUCAAAUUGUGUGGUCAUUAAAUGUUGGGGAUUUUUACUUAUCACAAUAAUGGUCAAAUAUUUUCACAGAAGACCAAAUGGGUUUUAAUAUUUGUUUAGAAGUUUUCAUGAAGAUUUUUUUAAGAUAACCUUUUAAUAUCUGUUUUUUUUAUACCCCUUCUGAACUAAAUUGUAGAUAAAACUCAAGUUUUCUCAUUGUUGCUUUAACCCUAUAAAACCCACAAUUCACAGCACAUUCAACUGAUUUUUUUUUUUUAAUUAAGAUGUUUUAUUCAAAAACCUUUGAUGAAGUCCACAAAAUUAUUUGUAUUUUUUUUAAGAUAUAGAAUGAAUCAAUUAUGGCAUGCUGGGUAAUUUGUAAGUCACAACAAAGUUAGCCUAUGAUGCAAAUGAGUGUUUGGGGAAAAACAACAUAUUUAGCCACUGUCAUAAAUUCACACAUUUUUAUGAUUAAUGUAUAUAUUAUAUAUAUAAUUAAUACAUUAAUUACUUUAAACACAAAUUAAAAUAUUUAAUUAUAGCAAGUAGUCAUUAAAAAAAUGAAUAACAAUAGUUAAGUUAAUUUCACCACAAAGUUGGGAAAAUUAGUUAAACUUUUUCCCGCCAAAACUGUUCACACUGUAUAUGAAAGCGGCGUCUAAAGGAGGCGCUCUUGUUAACCUAUGAUGUGAAUAAGGACAGGCGCGGAGUGCCGCGGUCCUCCACAAUGCAGCAGAUCGUUUUGGCGUCUGGUCUUUUUUGUGCACGAGCGGCGAGCGAUCCGUGUCAAUUCUGGCAGGAAGUUACAUCAAAAUACAUGAGAAAAUACAGUUAUUUUCAAAAAAGAACCCAUUUUUCACAAUAAAACACUGCGAUUGACCAAUGCGGUCAUGUUUUUGUUUCUAAACAGACUGUAGAGAUGAAAAUAUUCAUACAAUCACAAUAACAACACACAGUAUUAGUAGAGGGCCAAAUCCGGAGCGGGGGUGGGGCUGGGUUAAAAAAAACAAAAAAAAAAAAACCAAGAGAGAGAUAGAGAGCAGUUGGCGCUCGAGCAGAAAUGCCUGUUGACCGUCGUGAAAAAAUGCGCGUCUGGUGUGAAUUGCAGGACAGCGGAUGCUGCGCACUCUGCUCCGCGGCGUUUCCGCGACCAGUGUGACCUACCUAGCGUAGGUUCACACUGGUGCGAACCUCCCUAUGUGAAUUCUUCCCUUUUCCCUACCCCUCCAUUUGUAGUGCAAGUGGUGUCCAAAAAUUUUUUUUUUUUAAAGAUCUCAACAAGAAGAAGAUUACAUUUCAAUCUAAGUAAUGACUUUUUGUUGUAGCACGACCUUUUUAAAGUUAUAAAAACGCUGUUCUUAUGUAUAUUCGAGCGCUGGAAGAUCCACGCUAACGCUAGCUGAUAGGCAACUAUUGAUGACAUCAUCGAGCGAUCCAAGUUAACUUGUAGGGCUAAAUGUAGGGAAAGGGAGAAGGAAGGAAUUUAGGUCUAAUGUGGCUCCAACUUCUGAAUCUCAGAGAUAAAGACAUCAUCAUGAUCGUCAACAUGAACAGGCAAACCAACAGUGACUCCGUGAUUUGCAGAAAGUAAUUAUUAACGGGCUUCAACAACCUCCACCUCUGUCCUCUGACUCCUGCACAUCAUGAGGAGGCAAUUAACAGUUGUUCCCAGAGUCUGUGCCAUGCAGAUGUGCAGACACAUCCACGUGACGGGGACAGAUGUGUACGCACUCGCAGGGUUUGACCACACGCGCCGCGGCGUCGGUGUAGCUGAGGAUGCUCUGACACGUGCACGGCCGCGCUCGCCACACUCUGAGGGACACAUCAACGGAAUUUAAUGAGGGAACAUGUAAUCAUCCCUCCACCUCACCGGGAGAGCUGUUACCUUUUGGUGUGAUAAGAUAUUAAAAAUUCACACUGUUUCUGCAAA